UUUUUUCCAAUCAUUCAAAAAUUCAUAAGUCAAUGAAUAAUUGUCCAAAUGAGAUGUGGUUUUUUUCACUCUGUUCCUCAUCAUGUCUAGAAUUUUAUGACUAUUUUUUCACAAAUUGUGCCUGGAUAGAAUUUAAUUUGGCUUAGGGAUUGUUCAUGUGUGUACUUUCUUGACCUUGCUUGCCAUUUGCUUCAUGAAGUUAUGAAUAUUGCUCCAAUGAUUUUGAAAUUUUGCAUGAUUAAAAUAGAC
rnacentral:lncRNA from 1 species